CUCCACCUAGAUGGUCACUUUGGCUGCUGUAGGAGCCCCAGUUUCUCUGUUAUUGGGGCAGGAAUAAACUGUUAUUAUCCUGAUUAUGUGAAUCAAGGACAGUGGAACUGUAGUUGGUCUUUUCUUAUGCUGGAGGGACUCACCAUUAACUAAGCAGCACUCGCUAGGCAAGGGUCAUGGGUUCUAAAACCCAGUGAAGGGAGAGAGGCU